rfam:Gossypium hirsutum cultivar TM-1 chromosome 15, whole genome shotgun sequence
CAUCCCAAUGAUGAUGAUAUGGAUUGUUAAAAGUAGUGCCUGAUCUAUAUAUUAUCAUUUGAUGAUAAAUACAUACUGAGGGAUG